GGAAUAUUGGACAAUGGGCGCAAGCCUGAUCCAGCCAUGCCGCGUGAGUGAUGAAGGCCUUAGGGUUGUAAAGCUCUUUCAGUAGGGAAGAUAAUGACGGUACCUACAGAAGAAGCCCCGGCUAACUCCGUGCCAGCAGCCGCGGUAAUACGGGGGGGGCAAGCGUUGUUCGGAAUUACUGGGCGUAAAGGGUUCGUAGGUGGCCAACUAAGUCAUACGUGAAAUCCCUCAGCUUAACUGGGGAACUGCGUCUGAUACUGGUUGGCUCGAGUGCAGGAGAGGAACGCGGAAUUCCAGGUGUAGCGGUGAAAUGCGUAGAUAUCUGGAGGAACACCGGUGGCGAAGGCGGCGUUCUGGACUGUAACUGACACUGAGGAACGAAAGCCAGGGGAGCAAAC
rnacentral:rRNA from 1 species